rnacentral:rRNA from 1 species
CCCUUAGAUGUCCGGGGCCGCACGCGCGCUACACUGAAGGAAUCAGCGUGGCUCUGUCCCUGGUCCGAAAGGAUUGGGAAACCCGUUGAAUCUCCUUCGUGAUAGGGAUUGGGGCUUGGAACUGUUCCCCAUGAACGAGGAAUUCCCAGUAAGCGCGAGUCAUAAGCUCGCGUUGAUUACGUCCCUGCCCUUUGUACACACCGCCCGUCGCUCCUACCGAUUGAAUGGUCCGGUGAAGCGUUCGGACCGUGGCCUUUGGACGGUUCGCCGUCUGUUGGCUGCGGGAAGUUCGUUAAACCUUAUCAUUUAGAGGAAGGAGAANUCGUAACA